CUGUUGUAAUGUCUAGCUACUUAGCAGAUUUUGUGGAGGCCAUUGAUUUCCCCAUUCUUUAUCACAUCAUGUUGAGUCUUUGAAGAGAUUUCCUAAAAUUGGGGGGUUUUAUUUAAAUGUUCCAUUAGAUCUUUCAAAGUUAUGUGUUAUCUGGUCAAAUACUCAAGGGAGUUUUUCAAAACAAUCUUGCUUCUAGGUGCAAUCACAAAGUUCAACCCCCACCUAUCAUAAAUGAGAUUAUAAUGAGGAGAAGAUCAGAAAGGCAUAGAUGUGCUAUAGAUCAACUUUCAUCACAAUGCUGAAGUUGACAAUGAUCCAGCACCACCAACAGCACCAAUUGAGCAAUCUCUGCAAAAUCCUUUCAUCCAUUGAGGCCUUCCUGUUGUAGAAGGAAUUAUGGAACAUAUGUUGCUCCAAUUCUCAUGGUUGUCUAGUUGGAACCAUGCCAAUAAAAUGAUUCAGUCUCAGUGCAGAGGUUCUUUACAGGUUCUUUACAGUGUAAUCCUCUAAUUAGUCCAUCUAAUUAUGUCAAGUUACUCAUUUAGUCCCUCUACUAUAAUUUGUACCAAGUAAAUCUUUUAUUAUUUCAAUUUAAAAAUGUAAGUAUAUCUCAUUCUUGCCGCCAUGUGCACCAUCAAGAACCACAAGAUCUAGCUCACAAUGAGCACAAGCCAUUCAUCCUCCCCGGUAUGCCACAACCCCAAGGAGACCACCAAAGCCAAAACACCAUCUAUCUUCUAUGAAGAAGCUCCAAAAUUUGAGAAGCUAUACAAUGAUACUAUCAUAAUUGAGCAUACCUGCAAGCCAUGUCAGAGGUGUGCACAGUUGAAAAAUUAAUAUUUCAACUAACCUGUGCUCUCACCCUGCGUCAGCUGAGAUUCAAAUUUACCUCCUCGGCAAGAACAAAAACAAGCUAUACAGGGGACCGUGCCAAUAACCUAAGAGAUCAUUGGCUAUUACAUUUUUUAUUUUUUAAUAUAAAAUAUAUAAAUAUUGAUAUACAUUAUGUCUAUGGACUCAACUGCUCCUUCAGUUCAUUGAUUUGGGUGAAAGUGGUCUGUACUCUACUAAUGAGAUUAAAAAAAAGUUUUAUUAAAUUUUAAUCUAGAAAUUUAUACAUGUAUAAAUAAACAUGUAUAAAUAACCAAUUAAUAAAUCCAAUGAAUCAAUUAACCAUCUAUAUUUGCUAUGGAAAAUUCAAGAUAGUUAAUUGAACCGUACCCACAUCUACAGCUAUAUUUGUUAUAGGCAGUAUUCAAGGUAGGAUGACCUGGUACAAUUGAAGUCACCCAACCCUUUCUAUAACAUUUAAUUAGUUAAAUAAAUAUUUUUAAGAAAAAAAAAUAUUUAUUUCCAUUACCCACAUUUUUAUACCCAUAACAAUGUGAGUAAUUUCUAUCCACUCGCAUCAACCAGCGGCAAAGUUGCGCCACUGGCGGCCAUCAAGCCAGGCCAGUUUGCUGGGUAUAGCUAGAAUAAGUAUCCUUCCAAUUCUAAAAGGAAAUUUUCAUCUUUCAAUAGGAACUAUGGAUUAAGGGAAAAAUCAAUAAAAGGAAAUGAAACUAUCAUUGAUACAUUUUCUAUAAGAGAAAAAUAGCUAAAAAGAAACGAAACUAUCAUUGAUACAUUUUCUAUUAGAUCACCGCCACAAAGGCUUAGUGGUUGACAUAUAAUAUGUGUGGUGGUUUGUUUAUAUUAUUUAUAAAAAAAAUUCUAUUAGGUAUUUCCUCGUCUUAAUUUCACUAAUUAGCUAGACAGGUAAAAAAAAUUGAGCAAUUUGAUAUAGGACAAAAACAUAGAUAUACAUAUUCAAAACAAAAUUAAAUAUAUAUAUAUAUAUAUUUUGGAUAGUGAAAGAGCAACCAGGAAAUAAAUAUGAAUGGAGACAAAUAAAUGCAUAUAACAUGAAGAAGCAAGAAAGAAAAGGAUGAGCACGAACAGAAUGAGAGAUGAAUAAAUACCACAAGAAGAUUUGAAAUGAUGUCAGCAUAUAUACAUUAGUUUCUCCAGAAAGUCAGCGAUGCCUUCUUAGUUUAUUCCUCAAAAUAGAUCCAUAUCAUAUCUUAAACACGAUGCAAAUAUAAUUUCCUAAUUAAUAUGUCUACUUCGCAACCUGAUUACCCGUCCAAACAAACUAGAUAACAAUUUUAUUGCAUUUGGGAUUCCAAUGGUCAGAUUUUAACUCAAAUCCAAAAUCCAAGAUGAUUAUAUGACAAAUCUAGUGCACAUUGGGUCCUUAUAUGAAGCAUAUGUGAACCCUAUUCAUAUUUCACAUCCUGCCUUCCCAUAAGAUGUUCAACAUCAAAUAUACCAAUUUACUCAAAUUCAACAAAGCCAAGCCUAUUUGGAAUAAUCUAGAAUCCUUUUCAAGCAUCUUGUCUGUUCAAAACCUACUGAUCGAAAUUUCAUAACAUUAAUUAUGGCACUAAAAGUUCAGAAUUCACAAAAUUGCCAAAAAUCAGGCUGGAACUCACUCAAUUUCUUGAUAUAUUUUGUGAAUCUACAAUACCAUGGCAUAACUACUAAAUCAGCAGCAUAUGUAGCAAUGUGAAAAUGGCAGCAGCUGCAUGCUGACUUCUUUAACCACAAUUCUCAUAUAUAGAAUCAAUAGGGACAAUUUGAUAUAGUAAGCCCAUGGUUAAGUUAUCUCCACAAAUUUGGUACUUUGUCAUGGGAGUCCUUACACGCAGGUGGAAGACGCUUUCAUGCUUAUACUUGCAUUUACUUUUAACACAUAAUUUCAGCUAUCAAAGAAAGAGCACCA